rnacentral:lncRNA from 1 species
ACAUAUAUUUAAUAUAGCCUAUAAACAUAGCAUAUUUUUCUUAAAUGUAUACGUUUUAUGUAUCGAUCAUCAAAUAAAUACAUUUUAAUAUGAAAUAUUGAUUUGAAUUUAAUUAUUUAAAUAAUUGUAUCUGUAUAUCGUGAAGCUUCCGCCGCUAAGAAAAAAAAAAAAGUCAAUUUCAUUGUAUAAAACAAGAUAGAAAUUGCAACAACAUUCCAGUAAUAUUAACACAGAGUAUUCUCAGUUCCUUGUGUGAAAGAUAAAAGCGGGAGUACGCGGAGUGAUACUAGAAGCUUGAAAGUAGCGCCAGUUGCGGUAAUCCGGUUGGCCAAUCAGAAUGAAGCAAUUUUAAGCGGCGCGUUUUUUAUGUGCUAGCGCAACGGUCAAAAACGUCUAUCUUACGCGUCUUUACAUAGAAAACAACGCUUUUAUUUGCAAAAGCGAUAUCUUUACCUUCAUAUACCGUGUGUUUGGUGUUGAUCUCACCUCAUGUGGUGUUAUUUUUCCUCUUUUUAUCAGAGUAUGUCUCUCGUUUAGUGCUGUGAGCUCUUCACUGACGUCUCUGCGGCCUCUGACGGCUUCUACACAAGGAGAAAACAUCUGUCAGUCACUGGAGAGUUUGAUGUGUUUAGAUGUUAUUUGGGAUAAGUACACUUGCCGUGUAUUCUCUGUAACGCGGAGCUCAGGAGGAGGAGGGUUAUGGCUGCGAUCAGACAGCGGUUCAGCGUCACUCCUUCCCACGGCGUCUCGAGCUGCGUCAGAUUCUGGACGGAGAGCGCGUGGCGUAACGACGUCGCUGGACAGGUGAUAAAACACAGGCUCGUACUGGCGCUGGAGACCCGGUGUUCCCGUGCGAUCAUCUUUGGGACCUGCUGGACGAUUGGAGCUUCCUGCUGGACAGAAGACUCCAUUCAGACAGCAGUGAGGAUCACAGACGUCACCUUUGACCCCUGUAACCGCACGGCUUACCUGCACUGA